rnacentral:rRNA from 1 species
GUGUCAGCAGCCGCGGUAACACGUAGGAGGCAAACGUUAUCCGGAUUUACUGGGCGUAAAGCGCGUGUAGGUGGUUUGGUAAGUAGGGCGUGAAAGCUCCUGGCUCAACUGGGAGAGGACGUCCUAAACUGCCAAGCUUGAGGAUGGUAGAGGGAGGUGGAAUUCCGGGUGUAGCGGUGGAAUGCGCAGAUAUCCGGAGGAACACCAGUGGCGAAGGCGGCCUCCUGGACCACUCCUGACACUCAGACGCGAAAGCUAGGGUAGCAAACGGGAUUAGAGACCCCGGUAGUCCUAGCCCUAAACGAUGUAGACUUGGCGUCGGUGGUUUAAUCGCCAUCGGUGUCGUAGCUAACGCGUUAAGUCUACCGCCUGGGGACUACGGCCGCAAGGUUAAAACUCAAAGGAAUUGACGG